ACCUACGGGGGGCAGCAGUAGGGAAUCUUCGUCAAUGGGCGCAAGCCUGAACGAGCAAUGCCGCGUGAACGAGGAAGGUCUUCGGAUCGUAAAGUUCUGUUGAAGGGGAAAAAGAGCGGAGAGAGGAAAUGGUCUCCGAUUGAUAUUACCCUUCGAGGAAGUCACGGCUAACUACGUGCCAGCAGCCGCGGUAAUACGUAGGUGGCGAGCGUUAUCCGGAAUGAUUGGGCGUAAAGGGUGCGUAGGCGGCCUGCUAAGUCUGGAGUGAAAGGUACCGGCUCAACCGGUACAGGCUCUGGAAACUG
rnacentral:rRNA from 1 species